CGCGUAGGUGGUAGUGCAAGUCUGACGUGGAAUCUUAGGGCUUAACCCUAAAAUUGCAUUGGAAACUGUAUUACUUGAGUCAGUGAGGGGAGGGUAGAAUUCCUGGUGUAGCGGUGAAAUGCGUAGAUAUCAGGAGGAAGGCCGGUGGCGAAGGCGGCCCUCUGGCGCUGAACUGACACUGAGGCGCGAAAGCGUGGGUAGCAAACAGGAUUAGAUACCCUGGUAGUCCACGCCCUAAACGGUGGGUACUAGGUGUAGGGCUCGUAAGGGUUCUGUGCCGAAGCGAAAGCAUUAAGUACCCCGCCUGGGGAGUACGGCCGCAAGGUUGAA
rnacentral:rRNA from 1 species